GGUGUUGAUUGAUUAAGACAGCAGGACGGUGGUCAUGGAAGUUGAAAUCCGCUAAGGAGUGUGUAAGAACUCACCUGCCGAAUCAACACGCUC
rnacentral:ncRNA from 1 species